rnacentral:rRNA from 1 species
AUUGAACGCUGGCGGAAUGCUUUACACAUGCAAGUCGAACGGUAGAGGGGGCAACCCCUCGAGAGUGGCGAACGGGUGAGUAAUAUAUCGGAACGUGCCCAGUCGUGGGGGAUAACGUAGCGAAAGUUACGCUAAUACCGCAUACGAUCUAAGGAUGAAAGCGGGGGAUCGCAAGACCUCGCGCGAUUGGAGCGGCCGAUAUCAGAUUAGGUAGUUGGUGGGGUAAAGGCUCACCAAGCCAACGAUCUGUAGCUGGUCUGAGAGGACGACCAGCCACACUGGAACUGAGACACGGUACAGACUCCUACGGGAGGCAGCAGUGGGGAAUUUUGGACAAUGGACGCAAGUCUGAUCCAGCCAUUCCGCGUGCAGGAUGAAGGCCCUCGGGUUGUAACCUGCUUUUGUACGGAACGAAAAGGUCUCUCUUAAUACGGGGGACUCAUGACGGUACCGUAAGAAUAAGCACCGGCUAACUACGUGCCAGCCGCCGCCGUAAAAC